UACAGAGGUCUCAAGCGUUGUUCGGAUUCAUUGGGCGUAAAGGGUGCGUAGGUGGCGCGGUAAGUCGGGUGUGAAAUUUCGGAGCUUAACUCCGAAACUGCAUUCGAUACUGCCGUGCUUGAGGACUGGAGAGGAGACUGGAAUUUACGGUGUAGCAGUGAAAUGCGUAGAGAUGUGGAGGAACACCAGUGGCGAAGGCGGCUUUCUGGUCUGUAACUGACGCUGAGGCGCGAAAGCGUGGGGAGCAAACAGG
rnacentral:rRNA from 1 species